rnacentral:lncRNA from 1 species
AUAAUUUAUGUUAAGUGGGGUUUAUAUUGAAACAAACUAUAUUGAACUUUUGGAUUGGAUUUUGUCAUCUUUAGCAUACUUUAUAUUAUAGUUUGUACGCAUAUCUUUCCACCAAUAACGGUUCUGAUAGACGAGAUUCGAUCCAAAUUCGUUUUCACUUGCCAUAGAAAAAUAACUUUCAAAAUAAAAUUUUAAGAAGAAAAAAUUCAUUAGGCAAUCUAUUCAACCCCCACCCCUUUUAGAUCGUUACCUCUUCUAACAUCUCCCUUUGACGCUUCUGAAUGUUUAUGUUCUUCGAUAGGGUUAUUUACCAUUCUCUCUCUCUCUGAUGCUUUUGAAUGUUUAUGUUCUUCUCUAGGGUUGUUGAUUUAUUUUUUUAAUAGAUAAAUGAUAUUAGGAUGUUGUGUGUAUUCACAUUGUCAUGUGUAUUGUUCAUGUUACAAUGUUCAUGUUUUAUUCAGAUUUUGUGAAUAUGCUUUAGGUUAUGGUGUUGGAUAUGCAUAUGCAUAUAAUCAUAUUAGGAUGUUGUGUGUCUAGUAUUAAUGUUCCAUUCAAAUUUGUCUUUUGAUAUAAAUUUCAGAAUUUGUUAUGGAUCGUAGUUGGAUGAAAGUUGAUAUAUUAGGUCCGAUGUAUGAGAAAUAAGUUAUUGAAUUCCUUGAAUUUGCCAAAAAAAAAAGUUCUUGACAAUAAUGGCAUCUUUUAUUGUUCUUGUGUUGUUUGCGGGAAUAUAAAAAAACGGUCAAAGAAAGAAAUAUUACAUCACAUAUGUUAUGAUGGAAUAUGUCAAAAUUAUACAACAUGGAUGUAGCAUGGAGAAGUGGAUAAUAAUCGAAAUACAAUGUCACAAAUGGAUGAAGAUGAUGAAGAUAUGGAUCAUCGACUAAAAGAUACGAUCUGUGAUAUUGGAGAAUCAUAUUAUAUGAAAGCCCAUAUUUAUGAUACUUUAUGUAGCAACAAAGAUGCACUUUUAUAUAAGGGAUGCACCCAUUUUAUAUGAUUGUCUGUGUUGUUAAAAUUGUUUAAUCUGAAGACAAAAGGUGGGUGGUCGGAUAAAAGUUUCACAAAAUUGCUUGAUUUGUUUAAACAAAUGCUACCAGAAGAUAAGAAUUUGUCGGAUUAUUAUUACGAGGCCAAGAAGACAUUGUGUACAAUGGGUUUUGAGUAUGUCAAAAUACAUGCAUGCCCUAAUGAUUGCAUACUAUACAUGAAGUAUUAUGAAAAUUUGGAUCAAUGUCCAAAAUGUAGUGAGUCGCACCACAAGUUGAAGAACAAUAAUGGUGAUGACAAUGACAUUGUUAGUAAGAAGUGUCCUCUUGCUAAAGUGUUAUGGUACUUUCCAAUAAUUUUAAGAUUAAAGAUACUUCUUGAUAAUGAGAAUGACACAAAGAAUAGUAUAUGGCAUCCAGAUGAAAUAAAAUAUGAUGAAAAAAUUUGCCAUGUAGUUGAUUCUUUGCAAUGGAAGAUAAUUGAUUCAUUGUUUCUGGAUUUUGGCAUUGAGCCAAGAAACCUUAGGCUUGGGCUUGCCAUAAAUGGAAUGAACCCCUUUAGUAAUCUGAGUACUAACCAUUCUUCGUGGCCUAUUCUUCUCACGAUUUACAACCUAUAUCAUUGGAUGUGCAUGUAUAUGAUGUUAAGUAUGAUUUAUGGACCAAGACAACCUGGAAACGGCAUAGAUGUUUAUAUAAGUCCAUUAAUUGAGGAUUUGAAACUUUUAUAGGAUAAAGGUGUUGACAUUGAUGAUGCAUAUUCUGGUGAAAAGUUUAAGAUGCGUGAAAUGUUAUUUUGAACAAUCAACGAAUUUCCUACAUAUGGUAAUUUGGUUGGAUAUAGUGUCAAAGGACAUAAAGCAUGUCCUAUAUGUGAAUCUGAUACCUAUUUUCAUCAGCUUGAGUUUGGAAAAAAGACAGUUUACCUUGGGCAUUGGAAAUUUCUAAAACUCAAUCAUCCUUAUCUUAAAUUAUGGAAGGUUUUUAAUGGAGAACAUGAGUUUGAGAGCGCUCAUAAACCUUUAACUAGCGAUGAAGUUUAUCAACGACAAGAACACCUUACUAUUUUCUUUGGAAAGAAUAAAGAUGGUCAUGCUGAGAGAAAUAUUUGGAAAAAGAGAUAGGUGUUUUUUGAUAUUCCAUAUUGGUCUAGACUCGAUGUAAGAUAUUGUCUUAAUGUGAUGCAUGUGGAGAAAAAUGUGUGUGAUAGUUUGAUAGGAACACUUCUAAACAUUCCAGGAAAGAGUAAAGAUAAUAAGAAUUCCCGUUUAGAUAUUGUGGAGAUGGGUAUAUGAAAAUAGUUGGCUCCAGAAGAUAAAGGAAAAAGUUCUUAUUUGCCUCCGACAUGUCACACUCUAUCUAAAAAAAGAAAAGAAAAGUUUUUGCGAGUGUUGGCAUGGUAUCAAAGUUUCCCAAGCCUAAUCAUCAAACAUCAAGAAACUUGUAUCAUUGAAAAAUAUCAAGUUAAAUGGCUUAAAAUCUCAUGAUUUCCAUGUCUUGAUGCAACAACUUCUACCAAUGGCUAUCUGUGGUAUCCUUCCAAAAAUUGUAAGAGUAACUAUAAUUAGAUUGUACUUAUUCUUCAAUGCCAUAUGUAAUAAAGUUAUUGAUUUCAAAAAAUUAGAUGAAUUAGAAGAUGAGACCACAAUAAUAUUGUGUCAAUUGGAGAUGUAUUUUCCUCCAUCAUUUUUUGACAUUAUUGUUCACUUACUUGUUCAUCUAGUCAGAUAAAUCAGAUUUUAUGGUCCAAUUUAUUUAAGGUGGAUGUAUCUUAUAGAGCGAUAUAAAAAAAUAUUUAAAUGAUAUACUAAGAAUCAUCACCGACCAAAAGCUUUGAUCGUUGAAAGGUACAUCACAAAAAAAUCUCUUGAAUUUUAUUCAAACUAUUUAUCGAAAGAAUAGUCUAUUGGAAUUCCAAAGUCUCGUCAUGCUGACAAAUUUGAAGGUAGAUGUACUCAAGGUUUAAAUAUUAAGUCAAUGGAUGAGAUGUAGUAAUUGAAGCACAUUUAUAUAUAUUGAAUAAUCUUAGUGUAGUUGGACCUUAUAUAACUAUUCACAAAACAAUUAUAAAGAAAAAGUAUCCUCGAAUGAAUGACAAGUGGUUGUUGACGUGACAUAACAAGGAAUUUAUAAGUUGGUUUAAUAAGAGGAUUUCUAAUGAUGAUGGUCCAUCCUAGACAAUUUAAUGUUUGUCAUACAUGCCAAAAUUUAUUGUGAUAACUUGAACGACAUAUGACAUUUCUAAUUUCCUUUUAUAUAAAAGCAAAAGAUGAUCAAAGUACAAGACAAAAUUGUAAGGGUAUGGUUGAGGUUGAAUCCAUGUAUUUCUCUAGUUCGCAAGAUAAGAAUCAUAUUUUAGCAACCACCGCGUUCUAUGGUGUCAUUGAGAAGAUUCUAGAGAUUGAUUAUGUUAUUUUCAACGUGCCUUUAUUUAAAUGCAAGUGGGUUCCCAAUAACAAUGGUGUACAAAUUGACGAGUUAGGAUUCACACGAAUUGACCUUGGCAAGACAACUUAUAACAACAGACUAUUUAUCAUGGCUAUUCAAGCAAAACAAGUUUUUUAUGUGACAGACUCUGCAGACUUAUCAAAGAGAUGGUCAAUUAUUCUCAAAGGAAAACAUAUUUCUCAUAGUGAUGGUGCAAGUUUUGAUAUUUCUUCCACUCCUUCUUAUGCAACACAAAUGCCUACUUUAUAUGAAGAAGUUGAUAGAGAUGAUCUACAUGUUAUUUGUAACGAUCAUCAAGAAGGCAUAUGGGAAAAUUAACAAGUAUUUUAUAUUCUUCAUUCAUAAUUUAUUGUAUGUUAUAAUUUCUAAUGAUAUUAUUUUCUAACAACUAUAUUAUUUGAAUAUAGGUAUUUAAAGUCAAGACACAAAGACAACAAGGUAAUAUUAUUUGAUAUAAUGAUGUGUACAUGGUAGGUUAUUUUGUGUCAUUUUGGCUUUGAUGUAAUAUACAAUUUUUGGUUCCUAAUGGAAUUGUGUCAUUGGUGUAAUACAAAAUUUGGUCUAAUUCAAUUCACAAUUGGGUGUAUUCUUGUUUCUGGUCUGAUACGAUUCAAAAUAUUAAGGUUAAAAAUUUGAGAAUACUGUAAAAUUGAAAAAUAUAUACUAAAUAAAUAAAUAAUAUCACAAUGGUUUUUAAUUCAACCGUUGUUAUAAGUAGAGCACUAUGCAUAAUAAUAUAAUGCAAAAAUGACGUUGUUGGGAUUUGAACCCAAAACCUAUAAAUUAUUUCACAACGGUUGUCUUCUUUAUCCAUUAUUGUAAGUAGCAUGCUACCUAACUUAUAACCACAAUCACUCGCUCGUUGUGAAAACCAACAUACAUACAAUCACACACUACCUAACAAUAGACGUGAAAUUGUCAUUGUAUGUGUUUCACAACUGUCAUUAUAUGUGUUUUCUAUAAUAAUGCUUUUUUGAUUUAUUGCAUAAGUUACAUGUAGCAUCCAUAUUAUAAAUUUUGAAAAAAAUCGCACUGCAUGUCUUCGGAUUUUAUAAACCAAACAAACAUAUUGACAUGUAUUUAGAUUUCAUAAUAUGAAUAUUAUUAGAAUGUGUGUUGAUUGGUGUAAAUUUUGUUGAUUAGUAGUUUAUGUAUACUCUCUUCAAUCUCAUAACCAACAAAAUAAAAUUCAAUGUUGUUAAAUAUAAGUAAAAUCUUCUCUCAUUAUUACAUUCAAUUUUACUAUUCCAAAUAUUACUACUCUUUAUUUUUAUUUUUAUAGCCUCGUGUUUUUCAAGUUUCCAAAAUAAAAAGUAAUGGUAAAAAUAGAAAUAGUGUAUGGCUUAAAUGUAUUUAGAUGACUUCUUUAAAGAUUUUGUAAAUUUGCUUAUAUAUAAGAUUAGAUGUAGUAUUUGUCAAUUUUCAAUAAUGGAUAAGAAUAGUAUGCUGAACUCGUGCAAGGAAUAAAACAGACUUAACCACUGUCUCUACCCGACUUGAGCAUCAAUGUAAAAUUUGAGCAAAUAUAAUUGGAUUUGCAAACUACAACCUCAUCCUCGUGAGAUUGAGGUGGAGGUUGAAGUUUUGGAGGAGAGUGAAAGUUCUAAUUAUUCUUUUUUUUUUAAUUUCAAGAUGGGAAACUGAAAUAUAUAAGUAACGACAAAAAAUUCAUAAAAUUAACUACUCCAAAUAAACAAUUUUUCAUAAAUGUCAUUCGAGACAAUAAUCUAUAUGACCUUGACACCAUAGGUUUUAGCGUAGAUGAUCAUUGCUUGGUGAAAAUUUUGGAUCUAUAUGCUUGCAGGCAUAAAGUUAAUAGUUCUAUCGACAAACCUCAAAAGUAUUUUGAUGACGACAACACUAAUAAUUCCUAAAAUCGGUGGUAACAUCUUUCCAACUCCUUUAUGAUGGUGAUUAACUUGAAGAUACCUCAAGCCUCAUCAGGACGGAGACUCAAGGUUCCAUUAAAGUUUUUAUAUGAUCAAUGUAUCUGGCGAAGGAAUUUAAAAUCUUUAGAAUUAUGAAAGAAAGAAAGUGUGAAAGCUAGCCUAAUCGUAUCUGUUUGAGUAACCAGAGUCUUCUGAAAGUAAGAGAGUAUCUCCUAAGAUACUUAGGAAACACACAGAUAUGCACACACACACACAUGCACAUACACAUACACUUUCUCUCUCUCUCACACUCUUUUUUUUUAUCUCUCUCUCUCUCUCUCACACUCUCUCUCUCUCUCUCUCUCUCUCUCUCUCUGAGAAAGAGAGAGAGAGAGAGUCUCUCUCUCUCUCUCACACACACACACACACACACUCAUUUUAACUAUCAAAAUACCUAAAAAUGUUUUCAAGCCUUAGCCAAUUGAUUAGGAAAUUGUCAACUUCAUUAAAAGCAACUUUUGAACUAUCUAAUCGAUUAUAUCCUAAAGCUAAUCGGUUAGAAGAAGCGAAAUCAAUUAUAUAAUUAAUUAUGGUAGCGUAUUAAUGAUUAGUAACGACUCUAUAUCUAAACAUUCCAAAAUGGGCUAAAAUAAUCUAUUAUUUUUUUGUAUCUAAUCGAUUGGGCUUAUGGCCUAAUUAAUUAGAUUAGUUAAUUGGCUCAUGGAUUAUUUCCUUUUUAGCCAAUUAUUCUCUCUCCUCUUUAUUUCACACAAGAAUUCCAAAUUUCUCUAGUUCUUUGGAAUUUAUCUCUCUUUGUUGUCUCUCUAAAUAUUUUCUUUCACCAAAGUUACCUUAGUGCAUUGUGAGUGAAAACUAUCUGUGAGGAAUAAUUUAUACUAGUGUCGUUCCAUUGUUAUUACUCUCAAGAGUGAGAUAUUCUUGAGAAAUCGAGUUUAGUUAUUGAGAUUAACCAUUCUAAAAAUCUUUGUUUGGUUCUAGGACUUAGCCUGGAAAAUUUUAGUUUGGUUAUUGAGAUUAGCAUGGAAAAAUCUAAUUAGCUCGUUAGUUCAACUUGUGAAAAGACUUUCUUUUUGUUAGGGAUAAGUCACUGUAAAGUCUCUAGAUCUGUUUGUAUCAAAGGUUUGUGGAUAUAACCUGUAAAAGUUCAAGUUUAUGGUCAAAAUCUUAAGAAGAUCUCAUGGGGAUAAAAGUCGGUUAACUUUCGACCAAACCUGGAUAAAUCAUUGGUGUAAUCUCUCUAACCCUUAUCUUUUAUUUUUGUCCUUUAUUAUAUUAACUUUAAUUUUUGUUGCUUUUCACUAUAAUCUUAAUAUUAACGUAAUUUGACUUUUAAGUAACAAAAACUUAAGUUUAAUUACGAAUUUUUAAUACCACAAUUCACCUCACUCUUGUGCUUGAAGUCACUUGUUCAACAAGUGACAUCAGAUCCUAACUCAUAUUAAAGACUAAUCAUCCCAUGAGGAAAAACAACUUCAAUCUAUUCACUAAAUAAACCACCAUCCUUUAAUGGAUAAGGGUAUAUUUAUUGAAAAUGUAAAAUGGAGUUUUCCAUAUAAGAGAUGGAUUGUGGUAUUUAAAAAGUUGUGAAGGAAAGUUUAUGUUCAUACACAUCAUACUGAUGGUGUUGUAGUGAACAAAACUGGAAAUAAUUGGACCAAAGAUGAUAAAGAAAAUGUGUAGUGCAGUUUGAAAGCAAAAAUGGUCAUCACCGCCACUCUUGGUCUUGAUAAAAGCAAUGUGGGACAUCCUCCAAAUUACCCAUGAAGUAACUAUUUGUGUAAAGAGGGCAAGGUUGGGAUCAUUAACCUAUUAGUAUAAAAUUUUCAAGAUGAAACCUAAAGAGAACAUAAAUUAGAUGCAAACACGAUUUACACAUAUCAUGAGCCACAUGAGAACUCUAGGAAAAACAUUUUCAAAUGAAGAACUAGUUGUGAAAACUCUUAGAUGUUUAAACUGUAACUAGAAACCUACAUUGACUAUGAUUUGAGUAUCUAGGGAUCUAGAAAUUAUAGAUACACACACAUACAUACUCUGUUUGAGAAAUUACAAGAACACGAAAUAUAAUUAAACAGGCUUGCCAUAGAUGAGGAAGGAGAAAAGAAAAGCAAAAGUCUAACACUCAAAUUCGAAUAGUCCAACUCAGAUGGUGACAUGUAUCUUAUAGUAAAGAACUUAAAAAUAUUUCUAAAUCAUGAGAAACAACAAAAAUAGGAAGAUGAGGAAAAAAUUUCAUUUAUCCCCACUUGCUACAAGUGUGGAAAGAAAGGGCACAUUAGGCCAAAUUAUCCCUUAGCUAAAAGACAAAUAAAAAGAAAUCUAAGAAACUUUAGAAAAAGGCCAAGAAAGCUUACAUAGUAUGAGAACAUAACAAUAUGAAAUCCUUAGACAAUGAAGAGGAAAACUAACAUCUAUCUCAUGGAAAAUCAUCAAGAUGAUGAGGUAACUUCUUAUUUUUCCUAUCACGAUCUUUUUUGCAUUUGUAAGAAACUAACAAAAGAACCAAGAAAACUGAAACAAAUUGUGUGUAUCGAAGGAUAUUAUUUCUUCUCUUGAACUUAAAAAUAAAAAACCUUGAGAAAGAAAAUAAAUCCUUAGAGAAAUAUAAAAUGAUACAGUUCAAAACUUUUCCACUUUAAACGAAGAGGAUGAAUCUGAUAAGUGCAACAAAGGUGAUACUUUGAAAAAUGAAAUUUGCGAUUUUCAAAAGUCAUUUGUUAAGUUCACCAAAGGAAGAGAUAACUUGAAUCUUCAGUUGGGAAAUCAAAAAGUUUCUUACAAUAAAGUUGGUCUCGGUUAUGAACCCAAAAAUGAUAGUAGAACUUUAGUAACAUUUGUAUUGCUAAAUCCACCUCUCAUUGCAAAACCUUAAAAUACAACUAUUGUAACAAAGGUCAUAUGGCAUGUUCUGUUUUAUUAAUAAAUUUACGAGAGAAAAGAAGGACAUCCUCCUUCAUACUUUUAUAAAAAAAACAUUGUGAGCGCAAAAUAAAGAUUUCACUUGCUCUAUUAAAUGUUUAUGUCUCUAGUAUAAAGACAAAUGAAAAGAAUAUUUAUACAACUAACAAUAAAGGACCCAAGAUGACAUGGGUACCUAAAUUUAAGACCUAGGCUUUUAUUGCAGGAGUGCUUUACAGUCUUGAUUUUUAAGUAACAAAAACUUGAAUUAAAUUGCGAACUUUGAAUAGUACAAUUCACCCCCCUCUUAUGCUUGAAGUUACUUUUUCAACAACAACCUUUUUUAGAGAGGUGGCACGAGGAGACAUCAACUUGUAUAUCCCGAUUAAGGAGAUGAAAGUGAAACUAGAUGAAAUCUCAUGUUUUCUGCAUCUGCUACUCAAGAGUCGUAUUCUUGACUACACCAUAGUUACAAAGCAUAAAUAUUAUCUAAUGGUUGAUCUUCUCGAAGUAGAACCACAUAACAUUGAACAAUAAUUUUAUGAGGGCCCUGGAGGUAAUGCAUGGUUCAAAUUCCUGAAGGGUUAUUUAUGAAACACCUUGAAACUACAGGGGCUAGUGACUAGGCCGAUGAAGGUGUUAAGAAAUAGUUGUACAAGCAGUACAAGACUAGGAUAUAUCUCCCUUACUUGAUGGACUCAACCAUUUUCACAAAAAAAGGCCAGUUAUAGUCACAUGAUGUAUUUAGAGCAUUUCAUGGAUCUAUACAUGAUCACUGGCUAUACUAGAGGCACUGUUACAUUGCCUUACUUGUAUAGGGAGAGCUGGAUGUUGUGACCAAGUUUAAGAUGAUACAAUUAGUAAUAUAUAUGACAUUAUUUCAAGUAAAAUAUUCAUGUAGUUAUUUAAUUAGUUGUUAAAAGUAUUUUCUUCAAUAUUAUUUACUAAUUAGUAUACAUUGUUGCAUGCAUGAAUCUAUCAAUAUUUCCCCAAUAUUGACAAACAAAGAGUAUGACAAGACGGUGCCUCAUGCUAACCUUUUCAUUUCGCUUAAAAGAUAUCCAACUAGAAAAUUGUAUUGAGAACCUAUAUUUUGACUAUUAUCACAAGAUGUGUUCCUUGACUUUUACGAUACUCAACGUGCCAUAUACCUUUUCAAUGACAUUAGAUUCUAUUUUGGUUAGGUCAAAUGUUUACUAUGUAUGGUUAGGUACUUUCCAGAGGUAAUUUUGCCCUAGUUCAAUAAGAUGCAAACUAUUAUAAGACAUCAAUUUAUCUAUGUUAUACACACGACCACUCGAGAGUACGUUGAUCAUAGGUAUCUUGAGCGGCUAGACCACAUCUUCCUAAAUAUUUAGGAUAUUGCGACAUGAAACAUAAGAUAAUAUAUUAAGAUAUCACUUCCUUACCUGAUCCCCAUACCUGAGGGAAAAUCUUUGGUACUAAUUGAGAAUGAAUCACUUGAAGAGGAGGCAAAAAAAGAGGAUCACAAUAGUCGGGUCCCUAUUUGCACAUAAACUUGAGACAUGACUUUUGAAUUAUUAUCUCAUGGGACUAUUAAGUUGGGUACUAAAGUUUACGAUGUUGUCUAGAGCAUUCAAAUGAAGGUUAAAAAUUCCUUGUGACACAAGAGAUUUAGGAGGAAUGAAAAUAAUUCUUGUGUGAAAGGUUUCAAAGCAAGGAUUCUCACAAGGAUGGCUAAUAUAAAUGUAAGUUACAUAUUUAUCACUAUCAUAUCCACACAUUUAUUUGCUUACUUAGACACGAAGUAAUACAAGAAACUUUUAAUUUAUGCUUAAUUAAGAAUUUUCUUAUGUUACUUCGUUCUAAGUAAGCAAAUAUCACAGAGGUAUUAUAUACGAAAGAAAUUUUUAAUUAAACAUAAAUUAAAAAUUUCUUGUGUUACUUCGUGUCUAGUAACUUACUUACUAGACUAUUGGUGGUUUCACUAGUGACUUGCUUCUAGUGUUUAAAAAGUAAUAAAAACUAAUUUCCACAUCAUCAUAAAAGUAUUUUGAAAAAAAGUCACUUUUGAAUACUCUCAAUUUUUAAAAGAAACUAUUCCAAAUAUUCAAAUUGGGAACACCUUUUUUUUAUAAGCAAAAUUAUACCCCUGAAUUAAAUUUGAAGUUUCUCAAUCAUCCUCUAAAAUAUGGAGGUAUACUUUAGAAGAAAACAGCAAAAACUUAAAAGGAGGUGUGGAAAUGAAUUUUAUGCAUACCGAAAGCAAGUCCCUUUUUUUUAACAGGGGCAUGAGGCCCAACAAAUACGAGUUAUUGUCAUUCAAAAAAAAUAAUGUAGAAGUGGAAAUAGUUGCAAGGAAAAGUGCUCGGGUCCCCGCCGCAGCAGGUUAACGAACGGUGGCAACUGCAACUGCAACUACAAAUCUGAUAUAAACCCUACCAUCACCAUGUCCAACGACUCUUUGUUCGCCGGCAUUCGUUUUGACAGAAAGAAAUUCGGCGCAGAUAUUGCCAGGUUUCAGGUACCAUUUCAAUCUCUCUUUAACUAAACGCCGCUGAAAGUGAAUUCAAGAAAUUCCAACCAAUUUUUUUGACCUAAAUAUUCAUCACUGCUCAAUUUUCAACCAUUAAAAUUCGGAGCAGUUUUCUCUUAUGUACCUUUGUCAAUCAUAGUAGCGUGAUAUUUUGUAUGCAUAUAGAACUUAACAACGGCUACUAGCUAAUUUGAUAAACUGUACAUCCUCAGAAAGCGUCCUUAUGGGAUACAUGGAUUUCUGAUAAGACUAUUUUUAGCAAUUUUGGAAGUCUUUAAAAGAGGACUUUGAUUAUAUAAUCAAGUUCGCCAUUCAUGAAAAUGAUGAUACUGCACGCUGUAUUCUUAAUAUGAUGUCCAUUAGAGCAGAUACUAGAGCUAAGCACAAAGAAAUCAAAUGAAGCUUGUAAUGGAAAGAAUCUUCCCUGCAUGGUUUGAAAGUUACAAGUUCACAAAGAGACGGACUUCUUUUUUGGAGGAUUUCAGAUGUUUUUUUAUGUUUUUUUUAUUUUAAUCUUUUAGUUUUUUAAAAGUAAGUCGUGCACGAGAGAGAUGGUUUCAAACAUGUUUAUGCAGCAAGGCUUGAUAAAAUGUAGUCAUUCUCUUGCUAUUGAGAAAAACCCAAGUCCCAUAUGAUAAAGAGAGUCUGAAACGCGGUUAUAAAGAGGGACAACCCCUACAUUACUAGUCGGUUUUGUUAGGAUGAGUUAAAUCCAAUAUAAAAACUUACUAUGAUAUUAGAGCCUAUCGAUUUGGGCCACCUGCCAUUUAAUCCAUACAUCAAGCUCAAUAGUUAUGGGUGUGACUUGUGAGGGAGUGUAUUGGUAAAAACCCUAGUCCCACAUAAAAAUAAAGAAAAUGUUUGAAAUGAGUUUGUAAAGAGUGACAUCUCUCACCUUAAAAAUCAGUUUGUAAGGAUGGGUUACACCCAACAUAAAAAACCUAAUGCUUACUUAUUUCAUUUCUUAAUCUAUGCGAAACACUGAUAAUAGUUAUUUCUUUAAAAAAAGAAAAAAAAUGCCGAUACUAGUUUGGCGAAGAUUCAGAGUGUGACAGAAGAUGAAGAAAUCAAGGAAACAAUAGAAGCUGUGUCUGCAAAGAAAAGGAAGCGCAAGAAAACCUCUUCUGGUAUUCUCAUUCUCAUGUUUUAACACUCUAUGUCACAUAUCACUUGUAUUAAUUGUUCUUUAUCUCACUUUUGCUUUGUUUCUAUGACAAAUAAAAGAAGCUGUUGAUGGAUUCAGUGUGUUCCGAAGUUCAACAUCGAAGUCAAGCGAAAAAGUCCAAGCCGAUGAUGAUGAGUCCAUUCGGCUGAAGAAAGAAAAAAAUAAGCAACUCGAGGUUCAGGCCCUUUAUGUUUUGUGCAAUAUAUAGAACUCUCCGUGUUCUUAAGUUUGUGCAAUAAUUUUCUGACCAUUCACUUUCAUUUUUCAUCUUUAUUUAGCGCGAUGCUAUCUUUAGGAAGAGUCAUAACAUUCAUGUGUCCGGUUACAAUGUGCCGUCCCCACUUCAAAGCUUUGAUGAGUUGAAAACAAGGUAAUUUUCUGUUAAUAUUAUUAUUCUGGAAUCUGGUUGUUACAUAUUCUGCUUAUUAUUAUUAUUAUUAUAUAUUUACAUGAACAUGGCAUUGCUGGUUCAGAAUCUUAAAAUGAACUGUUUAUUAUAGUUAUAAAUGUCCGUCCUAUUUAUUGCGGAAUCUGGCAGAACUUGGAUUCAGAGAACCAACACCAAUCCAACAGCAGGCUAUUCCAGUACUCUUACAGGUACGGAUCACAUUGGACAUUAUGUUAUUCGAAAAUCAUUGAUGUAGUUUGAUCUUGGUUUUGAUUCGUGCAAGCUUGAUAUUGUUUGCAAGAGAGAUAGUAUCACAAUAUUGUUUUUACUGAUAUUUUCCUUCACUAAUAUGAGAUAGGAUCGUGAAUGCUUUGCCUGUGCCCCAACCGGCUCUGGAAAAACCCUUGCAUUUGUGUGUCCCAUGCUCAUGAAGCUCAAGGUAUUGCUUAUAUUUUGUUGUCUUUUGCUUCCAACAUCCUGGGUCAUGGGUUCCAAUAAUCAAAUGUGUUUAUAGGCUCAUUCAAAAGGUGGCGUUCGAGCUGUUAUCAUCUGUCAUAGCCGUGAAUUAUCUGGUCAAACAUACCGAGAAUGCAAAAAGUUUGCCAAAGGGGAAAAGUUUCGUAUCAAGUUAAUGACAAAACAUCUUUUAGAAGGUUCUGAUUUUUCAAAUUUUCCUUGUGACAUACUUAUAUCCACGCCCUUUCGAUUACGCUUGGCUACCCAGAGGAAAAAGCUUGAUCUCAGCAGGUGUGUAAUAAUAAAAAAAUCUGGCUUAUUGAUUUAAUCUUAUUACUCUCUAAAAAAUAAUCAAGUAAAUCAUUACAUGUAUAUUAGUCCAUAGGGAUUACUUUAAAUUCCUGUGAUGAUGGUCUACAGCUGCUCCUCUAUGCCACUUAUGCUGUAGUUUAAAUAUCUCAUAUUGAGCUAUACUUUGCUUUGUCCUUUCUCGACCAAUUGCAUGCUAAAUCGUGAAAUUAUCUCCUGGGUUGGUACUUUCUUUUUGCUGUCAUUCUUCAUUCCUUCUGCUAAAAUACAAUAUCAUUGAGGAACAUUUUUCCUGUUAUUCUUCAUUCUAUUUGCGUUUACGUUUCUUUUUAUCUGGCCCUGUGGAAUUAAUGAAGUAGACACGAGUAACCAGUUGAUCAUUCAGUUGACUCAAACCAUAAACCCAACAUGGAAAUCUAAGUUGUUUCAAAGUUUACCACCCCAGGAGAAAGUAAUUAAGUCUAAACACAUUCCAAAGUGUUUAUUGAGAAGCAAGCAAUUGCUAAAUCCAUAUGAAUAAUCGGUUGGAGUCCAUUAUUGCUGUCAAAUAUCUGCCAUGUUGGCGCCAUGGCGGAUUGCAGUGUUUUUUUUUUGACAAUUGUCAUGGCCAAUUUGUGAAGAACGGUGGUGCCAUGACCUUUUAUGGUGUACUUUUGGCUUUCUGCCAUGGUCUUCCAUCCAUUUGCCAUCGAUAACACUGGAGCCCAUUGAACAUGAAAACAAACACACGUUCAGCAGCAUAAUUAUUUCUAAAGAUUAUGGUUUCAUAUAAGAUGGGAGAAUCAAAUAUCUGUUGUAUAUUGGUAAAACAAAUUCAGUGUUUGUUUGCCUCUCAGUUGGCUGUGAUGUUAUUUAAUGAUAAAUUUGAUUGGGUACAACAAAUUGUGGCAUGGUCCAACCCUAGUUGGUGUCGGCUGUUGUAAUGUAAAACCUUAACUACUUAAAUGGUUCAUGCAUUUUCAAAUUUUGCUUGCUGCUUUUAGCUGUAUUCAAUGUUGUGUCUGCAAAGACAGUAGUAAUAAACACUAGACAUGCAAUGUGAUUACCAAAUAGGCGUGUUGAUGUUUUUUUUCUUUCAACUCUUUUGGUUGCUGCAGAGUUGAGUAUCUUGUCCUUGAUGAGUCUGAUAAGCUAUUUGAGCCUGGAAUGUUCAAGCAGAUUGAUGCUAUUAUCAAAGCAUGCACAAAUCCCUCAAUAGUACGCUCUCUAUUCAGUGCUACUUUACCUGAUUUUAUUGAAGAUAAAGCUCGAGAACUUAUGCAUGAUGCUGUUCGCGUAAUCGUUGGCAGGAAGUAAGUUCAAUAAAAAAUUUACAAUAGAACAUUAUGCUCAUGUGCAUUACUUUAACUCUUCACCCUAUUGUAAAAGAUAACAUCUAAUACUUUUAUGGGAAUCAGGAAUAUGGCUUCUGAAACAAUUAAGCAGAGGUUGGUUUUUACUGGAAGUGAAGAAGGAAAACUUAUAGCAAUUCGGCAGAGUUUUGCAGAGGUAUGAAACUAAAAUGAAUGCUUUAGAUAAAAGGCAUUAUUAGUCAGUUUGUUUUUCUUCUGCUUCAAUAUGUUUUGUCUCACAGGUCACAACUUAACCUUGGUCAGUGUGGGUCUUAUUGAAAAGUAAUUAGAAACCUCAUUACAAUUUAUCGUUAAUAUGUAUUUCCUGUUGUUAAUCUGCCUAGUUAAGAGAAACUAUUAAUAAAGAUUUUGGAGAUUAAUGAGUUGGAUAUAAAUAUGAUAUAUGAUAAAAUAUUAUGACAUUGUUUGAUCCAUGUAGCCGACUCCAAAUAGUGAGAUAAGGCUUUGUUGUUGAUUGUAUGUUGCAUGCAUAUAGUUUAAUAUUUACCUUGUUUCAGUUUGGUGUUAAAUAAUGUAUUGUGAGUGUAAAUAUGUAACGACUUGGAACACUUGUUAUUGUAACAUCUACCUUUGAAACUAGCGGAAAGAACAUAAUAUUGCAACACUUGUUUGCUCACUCCUAAUAUAUCAGUUGCUUGCAUUUGUUGACUUUGUUUUUUUUUGCUUUCCAUAUCUCGAAGAGUCUAAAUCCUCCAGUAUUGGUCUUUGUCCAAAGCAAGGAGCGAGCCAAGGAGCUGUAUGGUGAACUUGCAUUCGACAAUAUUAGAGUUGAUGUCAUCCAUUCUGAUUUGUCUCAAGAAGAGGUAGUUCUCAAUCCCUUUGAACAAAAUAAGCUUCUUGUUGGAAAGUAUGAAGGCACUCUGAAACGUUUUUCCCUUCAGCCAAAAAAUGCAAAAAGAAAAAAGAAAACCCAUGAAUUAUAUGACCAAGAUCUCUGGCCCAUACUAUUUAUAUGGUGAAGAUGUCAAAUUAUAGUAUUCCUUGUUUGUGCAAUUGCUUUUGUACUUGACUAAUCUGCUCAUCAUUACUGAACAAGACAAACCUGUUUUUAAUAUACAAUUCUGUUUAACUUUUAAUCUCUGAUCAUCAGCAAUGGGUACUCCAUUAUGAAAGCGCAUAUUUGUUAAGUUAGCUGUAGCCUGUAACUAUGAUGUGAUUUUUUUAAUCUCUUGAAUUCUAUACAGCGAGAAAACGCAGUUGACAACUUCAGAGCUUGUAAAACAUGGGUUUUGAUUGCCACUGAUGUGGUUGCUCGAGGAAUGGAUUUCAAAGGCAUUAACUGCGUGAUCAAUUAUGAUUUCCCAGAUUCUGCAUCGGCAUAUAUCCACAGAAUUGGUUAGUGUCACGACAUGAACAUUUUUUUUUUAAUAUUUAAGAAGUGUUUAGAGGGGCUGUGAUUUGUAAUAUUCACUCACUGAGCCUUUUCUUUAUUAUAUAUUCUUUGAUACAUCAAUUUUUAAUAAUGAUUUGAAUCUACUUUUUGCUAAAUAUAAAUGUUGAUAUUUCAAUAGGUCGAUCUGGUAGAGCAGGGAGGAGUGGCGAAGCAAUUACAUUUUACACAGAAGAGGAUAUUCCAUUCUUGAAGAACGUAGCUAAUCUAAUGGCAUCCUCAGGCUGUGAAGUUCCAUCCUGGUUGACGGAGUUGCAGAAAAAGAAGUGGAGGAAGCACCGACCCAAAAGAGAUUCUAUCUCAACUAAACCUGACAAAGUUGCAAAAAAACAAGUGACAGAAAAAGCAGUGGAGGAAGCACCGGCCGAAAAAGAUUCUAUCUAGACUAAACCAGAUCUUUAAGUCUAUUACAACAACAAAUUGGAACAAGUUUUUGACCUGUGAAAUUUCUUGAAGUGUUUAUUUCUUGAAAGACCAUGCAACAGUGUUAAUUUAUAAUCCUCCCUCUCCAAAAAUGAUGAAAAGGGGGUGACUGGAUGGUGUGCGGGGAAUGUUGUCUAAUGCUUAUAUAAGUUCCAACCAUGAUAUAAUCAUAUACAUUACCUUAGUGCCAGUUGCAACACCCAUAAAUGGGAAUUUUUGGGCCUUCCUUUGUACUGAACAAGCAAUUUUGUUGAUCCUAAAAUGUCUGAUUUGAUAUACGUUGAAACAACAUUUCAUUCAAUAGAUUUUUAUUGUGUGAUGGCUUUCUACACAGUAUGUUAGUAAUUCUUCCAAUGCCAAGGCAUGCACAUAAUACAUGCAAUUCUGUAGUAUAUGUCAAUUAUUUAAACAUUUUAUGUGGGCUAAGUCUCUUAACAUAAUUUAAGGAUUUAAUUUGUUCCAUUAUUUAAUAAGAGUAAAAAGUUUUACAUUGUCGAUUCAUCACCAUCAUCCGUUUGUAUUAUUUUGUAGGUUUUUAAGAUAAAAGUCAAAUUUGGUUCAAUAUCCAACGUCUAUAAUUAAUUGAUGGUGUAAAAUUCUUUUAUACUGUCAGUGUAUUUCAAUUAAAUUCAUUUAAUAAAUGUUAUUUUUUAAUCAUUUAAAAACUAUUUCAUGACUUAUGUGAAUGACAUUAUCUCAACAUGAAAGAAGUGGAGGAAAAAAUAGUGUUCGUAAAUGUUUUUUUUUUGUAGAUUAGCGAAAACCUUUGUAUCUUUUUAGAAUAACUUCAAAAUCAUAUCCUUUUAGAUUAAUCAAUAGUGAAUCGAGAUUUUGAUUUUGAUAUGACUUGGAGUCCUUGUUGGUUUUUUAUUUCUUUAUUCGGUGAUCUAUGAUCUAUUGAUGGUGGGUGUAUUAACUUAAGAUCUAACUUGCUACUUUUUAGUUUGGAGCUCGAAUAAACAGUUUUUCCUUUGGUUCUGUCAUGUCUUAAUGUUUCAUUAGUUUUUCUUCACCUGUUUGUAUUAUAUAUUAAUAUAUAUAUAUAAUAUAUAUAUAUAUAUAUAUAUAUAUAUAUAUAUAUAUAUAUAUAUAUAUAUAUAUAUAUAUAUAUAUAUAUAUAUAUAUAUAUAUAUAUAUAUAUAUUAUAUAUAUAUAUAUAUAUAUAUAUCAAUAUUAUUUUAUUCGGCUUAUGGUACAGCUUGUGCUAUUUGAUUUUCUUUUAUAUUUUGUGUUGAGUAUGACUUAUCAUGUAGAAACUCUAAACAGGUCUUUGGACCACCUGUUUGUUGGGGUAACUUAGGAUUAAAGUUUAGGUUUAGGGGUAUUUCACUUGUAACACUGUAACCCUUAAUUCAUAAGACAAAAGUCAAUGAUAGAAUGUGAUGAAAGUAUUGAUCGAAAUUGCGUUAAAAAAGAUCAAUCAUGUUCAUUGUCUUUUACAUUCGUUUCUCUUUAAUCCUCUAUGUUGGUUGUUGUUCUAAUAGUUGGUAACUCUAGUGUGAAAUUCGAGGUAACAAGGUUUGACGAGACAAAUAAUUUUGGAUUAUGGCAAAUGAGGGUUAAGGAUCAAUUGACUCAUCAAAGUUUAUAGAAAGUGUUGCAUGAGACAAAAUCGAACGACAUGGAGGAUACCGACUGGAUAGAGAUGAAAAACAAGGUUGCGAGAUUGAUUCACAUAUGUGUUUCAGAUGAGGUGAUGUAACAUAUCCUGGAGCUGACGACGCUGGAGGAGGUUUAAGACAAACUGGAAAGUUAGUAUAUGAAAAAGACGUUGACGAACAAAUUACUCCCUAAACAUCGACUAUACAGUCCGAAGAUGCAAGAAGAACCUGAUUUGCAACAACAUGGCAAUGCCUUCAAUAACAUAAUCACCGAUUUGGUGAGGCUUUGGAUGAAAAUUAAUGAAGAUGAUAAGGCAAUUAUCUUUCUCUGCUCGUUACUAGGUUCUUAUAACCACUUGGUGACCUAUGGAAAAGAAAAUAUAAGUCUUGGUGUGAUUACUGCUAUUUUUUUUGUCUCAUUCUCAAAAGAGACAAAGUGUAGAUGAAUGAACUUAAGGCGGAGAUUUGUAUGUGAAAGGGAGUCAAAAUCGUGUGCAGAAUAAGAGUAAUGGAGGUUCUGGAAAAAAGAUGUAUAAAUCUCGGAAUCGGAAAACAACUUAGUGUUAUAGUUGUAAACAUAUUGGGCAUUGGAAGAGAGAUUGUCCAAACAGAAAGCAAGCCUCAUCUAGUUUUGCAAAUGUAGUCCAAAUAGAUGACUUUGGUAGUGAAGCAAAUAUACAGUGUAUUUCAUCCAACCAAUGCACAUAUGUGUGGAUUCUUGACUCUGGUUGUUGUUACUACAUGACACUGCAUCGAGAAUGGUUCACUACAUCCCGGUCAGGUAGUUUUUUUUUUUUAUCAAGUGAUGAUAAAGCAUGUAUUAUCACCAGAAUGGGACAAAUUAAAAUUUCCAUGGACAAUGGUGGCGUUCAACAUUGUACGAACUCAAAUGUAUCUUAGAAUUAAGGAGGAAAUUGAUUUCCCUAGGUACUCCACAGACAAAUGGUUUUUCUUACAAGUAUGAUGAAGAUAGCCACAUUAUGAAAGUUAGCAAGGGUGAAUUGAAUGUGAUGAGAGCAAAGAGGACUGCAAGUAACAUCUACAAACUAUUGGGGAAGAGGUUUGUAGGUGAUGUUGCAUUAGUUGAGUCUAAUAAUGAUGCAACCAAACUCUGGCAUAUGCGUCUGGUUCAUCUCCAUGAGUGUGGGAUGAUGGAACUUCAUAAGAGGAAUCUAUUGAAGGGUGUUUGUAGUUGUAAGAUGGAAUUGUGCAAGUAUUGUAUACUUGAGAAAUAUUGUAGUUUUUGGUUCAAGACUAUAAACAAUGAAUUUUAGACUAUGUGCAUUAAAAUGUGUGGGGUCCUACCAAAGAGGUUUCCAUGGAUGGUUCCAGGUAUUUUGUGAGUUUCACAAAUGCUUUUUCUCGCAAGGUUUGGGUGUAUUUCUUGAAAUAUAAAGAUGAAGUCUUUACCAAAUUCAAGUUGUGGAAGACAGAGGUAGAAAAUAAAAUAGGAAGAAAAAUCAAGUAUUUAUGAUCAGAUAAUCAAACAUAUUACGCUGACUUGAAAUUCAAGAGGUUAUGUGAAGAACAUUAUAUUCAAAGAUAUUUAUCAGUUUGCAAGUCACCACAACAAAACUGUAUUUAAAGAUAUGGGUUUGAAUGGUCGGGGGGAGGGGGGGGGGGGGGGGGGGGGGUGGGGGGGGGGGGGGGCUUUGUUCCCAAAAAGACCGUUACAAAAAAUUCUUUUAUAAAAUUAGAGUUUUAAAAAAUGCUUGGCAUAGAGAAAGUUUUCGUAUAAAAGAUGUGAUUGGAUUGAUGAUAUAAUACAUACUUAUUACCAACAAAAAAUAAAGAAGCAAAAGAAUAGUAGAAGAGAAUACUAAAAUGUACUCGAUGUUUUGAUUGAACUAAGUUCAUUUUACACGAGAUUUGUAAACCAAAUUUUCUCAAAUGAAUAAGGAUUAUAUAAUCACAGUUUUCACUUUAUUCAAAAGUAAGAAUGUUUAGGAACUUGAUCUAACACAUGCCUAAUUUUUAUACACAAAAUCUCUAUGCACGCGGUAAAAUCUAUCAGCAUGCGAUUUCUAAGAGAAACAAUUAACCUAAACAUACAAUACUAAACGAAAUAUAAAAGUGCGAGAGAGGUAAAGAUAGUACGCCAUAUUUAGAGUGUUUCAGCGUUUCGUCAUCGUUUGAGCUUAAUCCACUCUCCAAUGCUUCCCAUUGAAAGUUUGUUGUUGCUCCACUAUGACUUUGACAAUUUUCACACAGAGUAUUUUAAUACAAUAAUGAUUCAAAUCAUGCUGAAAAUACACGAUCUUUAGUCUAAAUCUCUCUUUGACUAUAAACAACGUCUAAAAUCGGUUCCUACAAUUUUUACUUGAUCUCGACUUCUUCCUUCCAAACUCAAGAAUUCUCCUCCAAACGUCCGUUUUGCAUCGACCUUUACUCAGUCCUACCAGUUCCUUGACUUGUCUGAAGGUGAUAGAAACUCCAACUCCGUCUGUAGUAGCUUCCACACAGCUUUAUCGAAGCAAUCUUGAAGAAAAUAAACUCGUUCUUUUUCACAGUUGGAUUGCCGAUCUCAGACAGUCAGAAUUGAGUUUUUACCUUGACUUGUUUUUCCUAGGUAAAAUUGAAACGUAAAAUCGUAGAGUUUAUCUCAUUAAAAUAAUAUUAAAUUCACACACACACACACACACAUACACACACGCGUGCGCGUGCAUGCAUGGACACGUAUACGCGCGCGUACACGCACACAUGCACAUAUGCUCACACAUGCAUGUAACAUGAGCACACACGCACACACACACACACACACACAUACACACACACACACACACACACACACACACACACACACACUUGCACACACUCGACACACACACACAUACAUACAAACACACACCCACACACAUAAGCACAUACACACACACACACAUGCAUGCUUGCACGCACGCACGCGGGCGCGCGCACACACACACACACACACACACACACAAACGCACGGUAAAUGCACACACACACACAAACGCACACGUAAAUGCACACGUGCACACACACGCACGUGCACACACACAAUGAGAUUUAUCAUGUCAGAACCAAGCAUAUUGAAUGAUGUGAGUAUGAGUGUUCAUGGAUGUGGGUCAACCCAUGAACCUGUUGACCCAAACCUAACCAACCCAUAAAUUAUCCGAACUUAUUCAUUUACGAGUAUACCCAAUCCAAUCCUUAACAACCCGUAUAAUUUUGGUUCGGGUAUCGGGUUUGAGUUUUGCAACCCGUUGACCCAACCCAUUGAUGUGACUUUAAUAAUUUCUUAUUAUUUAUUUAUUAUAUUAAAUAAAAAUAUAAAAUUAAUAUCAAACUAAUAACCAUAAUUUUUCCAUUUUUUUUAUUCUCCACCAAUAAUACUACUAGACGAAUGAGUUUACGUAAUUCUAAGAUUAAAUGUUGUUUCUUAUUUUCUUUUGUAUCAUUUGCAACUUAUGUAUUUUAUGGAAAUAAUGUGUCUUUUUGAACUUUAUAAUAUUAUCAAGUGUUAUGUCGUGUUGAUGAAUUUUAUUAGAUCUUAUAUGACAUGUUUUAUCUAAUUUGAGUGUUAUAAAUGAGUAUGAUUGUAUUGAGUCGCGUUACAUUUUUUUAAACCGACAAAAAGAGUCAUAAAAAUUAUAUUUUUUCUUUGAAACACAACCUGCGAACCCAACUCAACCCAACCCAUAAAUGAACGGGUCGAUUCAGGUCAGUUUUGACAAUGAAAUUGCGAGUUUAGCGAUGGACCCAAUUCAUUGAAAUUUGAAUGAGUUGGAUAAUGGUAUAUGUCAAAUCUGGUCUAACCCAACCCGUGUACACCCCUAGAUGUGACAUUUCAAAAGACCAAAAAGUAACUUACAUAUAGACAAGUAUUACUUGAAAAAGUUCAUACUUCAGAUUAUGUAACUGAUAUGUUGAACAAAUCCGUCAUUAGUGACAAAUUCAAGCAUUGUUUAAGCUUGUUACACGUUUCUCAGUGUUAAGUAGGAGGUGUAUCUCCAUAGUUUUCAAGAUGUGAUCGCCAUGCUAUAAGUCCGUAUAGGGGUUUGACAUUUACUAAGAUGAAGAUUUUGAGAAAGUCUCGUAUUAUGUAAAACCUUCAAACGAGUCAUAGAUCCAAUAGUUUGUUGUGGGUAUCUAUGGAAUAUAUAUAUAUAUAUAUAUAUAUAUAUAUAUAUAAUAUAUAUAAUAUAUACUAUAUAUAUAUAUAUUAUUAUAUAUAUAUAAUUUAUAUAUAUAUUAUAUAUAUAUAUAAUAUAUAUAUAUAUAUAUAUUAUUAUAUAUAUAAGUUUAGAAGUACAAAAGUAUUAUUGUAAACUGAAAAUAAUAUUAUAUAUAUGAUUUGUAUCAAUGUAACCCUACUUCAUAAGACACAAAUUAAAAGAAUUAUAAUUGUUCUAUAGUCACAAAAGUGUACACCAUUGAUCAUACCGUAUUAACAAAGAUUAGUCGUAUUUAUUGUCUUUUAUUUCCGUUUUCAUAUUGGUUGUUAUUCUUUGUUGGGGUCUUUUACCCUUUAUAUUUAAUAUAUUAUCUUGCCUUUAAAAAAUAGUAUACAAACUAAUUUGGGAAAGUAUCUAAAUCAUUAGCAACCACUAUCUAAAAAAAUUGUUUUCACAUAUUAAGAAAUUUAGGGAAGUUUAAUGAAUUUUCUCGACUUUUUUGUUGUUGUUGUAAGAUAUAAGUUAAAUUUAUUAAAUUAUCAUUUUUUAUAUUUAGAGAUUUAACUAUCCGUAUUAGAUGUUUUGAAUAAAAUGAAAUGUAUAUUAGAAAUAAUAUCAUUAAAUAGUGUAGGCCUUAAAACCUUUUUAAUAGUUGGGAAAGAUCAGAUAGCUAAACUUAAAUGCCUAUUAAUCAAAUCACAUAAAGGAGGAAAAACACCAAAUACUAUUACUAAAACAUAAAAUUGUAAAAGAAACAUUUUAGUGUUAACAAUAUUAUCAACCCUCGGGGUUAGUCAUCACAAAUUUCUUGUAGUGCUUCGUCAAAACUAUCUUGGGUUUCUAUAUAGUUUCUGUAUUAAAUUCUCAGAUGUGAAAUACAUAUUUUGAAGGUAACAAUUGUACCAUAAACAGCUGCAAAUGACAGAUGAAAUUAAUUUAACUGAAUAUAACUUUGGAUCAAACUUUUUGUUAUAAAAAGCUGUAGCUCCAAUAUUAUGAAGCACAAACAUUUGAAAUACGACGCUGCUGACACGUUAACACAAGUAAUAAUUUUUAAAAAAUGAAUAAAUUAAGCGUAAUCACAAAUAUAGGUGUUGGAUUCGGAUACAGACGCUGACACAUACACACAUUUUUUCCCGAGGUGUCAGUGCUAUAUAACUAUAAUCCAACUACAAAUUUUCAACUUUUUAACUACCAAAUGCUAAUCUCUAACCUCUGGCAAAGAUCAUAGCCAUCAUCUAGCACCUGCAGCCAUAACUCUUCAAGCAUUGUGUAAAUGUUGCUCCUUUGUGGAUGUGAGCUAUCUUCAGAGAAGAAUAUAUGGAUCUUAUCCUUAACUUCUAUCCAGCUUUGACCAGGUACCUUUUGUACACCCAUUUGUUUCAUUAGGUUCCUUAGUGUAGCAACAUCUUCCCAAUUACCAGCAGAAGCAUGUAUGUUAGAAAGCAUCACCAUUGCCGCAGAGUUGGAAGGAUCGAGUUUUAGUAUAUUUUCUGCAGCUCUCUCUGCAAUGUCAACUUUAUUAUUAUGAGUUUUACAAGCAGCAAGUAGAGUUUUCCAAGUAGUAAUGUCAGGGUCAAAUUCUGAUUUCUGAAUAAAAGUCUCUGCUUCAUGGAAGCAUCCGGCACGAGCAAGCAAAUCAACCAUGCAAGAGAAGUGUUCUCUUGUCGGUGGAAUUCUGUAUUCUGUUUCCAUGGAUUUAUAUAAACGCCAGCCUUCCUCCACUAAUCCAAUGUGACUGCACGCGCUGAGAGCCCCGAGAUAUGUGACCUCGUUAGGCCGAACGCCAAGAUUUGUCAUAACUUUAAAGAGAUUAAGAGCUUCAUGUCCAAGUCCAAACUGAGCAUAACCAACAAUUAAACUACUCCAUGAGACAAUAUUUGGGCUCUGCGUUGAAUCAAAAACGUCGCGAGCAUGUUUAAGUGAUCCACAUUUUGCAUACAUGUCAAUCAAUCCAUUGCACACAGAAACAUCAAGCACUAGCCCACUUUUAAUACUAUAGCAAUGCACUUGAUUUCCGACACCUAAAGAUGUCAGCUCAGCACAGGUUCCUAAUAGAGUAGUUAUGGUGAUACUGUCAGGCUUAUUUUCAGAAUAAAGCAUUUGUUUAAAUAAUCUGAAAGUCUCUCCUUCUUGCUUGUGCUGCAAGCAUGCUGAAAGAAUUGCAUUCCAAGAAACUAAGUUGGCAUUUCCGCUUACAUCUCUGAAAACAUUUAAUGCAUCAUAUAGAUUUGAGCACUUUGUGUACAUGGUUAACAAGGAGUUGCAUACCGAUACUUCCUUAUCGAGACCGAUUUUGACAAUGUAAGAAUGAAUGUGCAUACCCUGGUUAGAUGCUGUGGGGCUCCCACAAGCGCAAAGUAAGGAAAUAAAAGUAACGUUAUCUGGGAUCAGUCCUGUUUGCAUCAUCCGAUGGAAAAAAUCUAUGGCUUCAUUAGCAUCACCAUUGUCAGCAAAUGCUGCAAUAAUUGCAUUCCAUGACACUAUAUCAGGGCUUUUAAUCUGAUAGAAUGCCGUCUUUGCCGAAGGUAAAAAUCCGAAUUUUGCAUACAUGUCACAAAGGGAGCAUCCAGCGAAAACGUUCCUCCCUAAACCGAAUUUAGCGCACAUUCCAUGUACUUGCUUUCCAUACUCUAGUUCAAGAAGGUUGCUGCAAGCACUGAAAACACUGCCAAAUAUGAACUCAUUUGGCUGAUAAACUCCCUGCCUGAGCAUAUCUCGGAAAAUAUAUAAAGCUUCUAUCCUAUAACCUUGUUGAGUAUAUCCCGUAAUCAUGGAACCCCAAGAAAUUAAAUCCUUUGUAGAAAUCGUUGUAAAUACAUUUGACGCAUGUGUGAUUUGUCCGAAAUUUGUGUACAUUGAAAUAAGAGCAUUUAGGGAGAUCAAGUGAUGACCAAACCAUGAUUUAAUGACAUGAGCAUGCAGUUGCCUACCUAAACCUAUAUCCCCGGCAAUGUAGCAAGCCUUAAUUAUGCUUCCAAAGGUUAACUGGUCCGGAAAUUGACCCGAUUGCAUCAUUUGAAUAUACAUGAUGAUGGCAUCGUUCUCUUGACUGUUCUGUGAGUAUCCGGAGAUCAGUGAAGUCCAAGAGACCACAUUUCGUAGCUGCAUUGUGUCAAAAACUUUUCUAGCAUCAUUCAUAGAACCACAUUUUCCAUACAUGUUAAUAAUAUGAUUUUGGAGAAUCAUGCUUGGUUGGCAGCUGGAUUUUGAAAUGUGAUCAUGGAUUUUCUUUGCAUAUUCAAGUGAUCUAGAGUUGGCGCAAGCCAAAACUAAACUCGUAUACGUGCUUGGUUCAAAAUGGAUAUUCGGAUUCUUUAGAUGAAAAUCAAACACUUCCAGCGCUUCUUUGUAAUGCUGUUGCUUACACAACAAUAUUAUGUAACUAUUAGUCGGUAGCUCUGUACUUAGAUUAGAGACAGUUGCUGGUUGCAGAACAGGUCUUACAUGAUUAUGCAUACAUCGAAUGAAGCUUCGAAUUGUCAUAGACAUGGAUGGGGUUUUUGAAAACUAGAAAAAGUAAAACUACUGUUAUUUGACGACAACGGAAGAAACCUUAAAGGGCAAGAUGGUUUCAGGACAGUGAAGUGGUUACAAAUGAGGGUUUCUGAUUCUGACUAAGGAUAUAACAAAAAACAGUAGUAGGAUGAUCAGAAAGUGAGUGUUUCCAAUGUAAAUAUAUGAAAUAUUAACAUGAACCAUGUAACUAAAUAUGCUAUAUUAUGCUAAAGCCACUUCCUAUAUGUUACUAUCUCGCUGUGGCAAUUUGUCAAACAGCUACUAUGCAACAAAAUUGCAUUCUAAAAUGUGUACAACAAUGAGUUAGAAAAACUGUAUAAGUGCAUAAUGAUCAUCUUUAAAAUAGUUUAACAACUCAAAAUUGGAGGAAAUUUAUGGAUUCCAAAACCACAAAAAAGUUAUGAUAACUGAAAAUAACGCACCUGAAGUCUCUGGUUAGUGCUCAACCAGAGAGAAUACUAAUGUCACGUGCUUAUUGUUAUUGUUAUUACAAAACUACCCACUAUAUUUUCUUUAUUUAUAAAAUUUAUGUUUUUAAGAUAAAAAACAUAAAAUUUUAAAUAAUUCAUUUUUUCAAAUAAAUAUCCAAAAUAACUCAUUUUUUCAUCUAUUUUUCAAAAUAACCAACUUUUAAACAAAAAAAAAUUUCAAAACAAAGGAGGCGUCAAUCCAAUUGACGUCUGUGUACAUCACAUAAGAGGAGAAGACAAUCCAAUUGACGACAUUGUACAAACACGUAGGAGGGAGAAUAUACUUUCUCUCCUAUACGUUUGUACAUUAUCGCCAAUUGGAUUGACCUCUCCUCGACCUCUCCUCCUCUUCUGUGUUGUACACGGACGCCAAUUAUAUUGACGUCUCAUUUAUUUUGAGAUUUUUUUUUAUUUGAAUGUGGAUUACUUUAAAAAAUAAUUAAAAAAGUGAAUUAUUUAAUAUUUAUUUGAAAAAAAUUAAUUAUUAAAAAAGAAGACAUCCCUUGUCAUUUAGUCAUUGAGUUAAGUGAAUAAUAUAAAAAAGAAAUUUUAACUUUAAUUAUUUGUUAAAAUAAAUUAUUUUUAAUUAAUAUUUUAUUUUCUCUCUAUGACAACCACACAUUUAAAAAAUAUGAAGCAGGUGUAAAAUUGGUGGGACAAUACUUCAAAUCAAAUUAAUAUGCAACGACUUUGUUCAAGCCCACAUUAUUAUCUUACUUCUAUUUGCAAUAAUUCUAUACUCCAAAUAUUCAUUAUGCUCAUAAUUAUCCUGCCAAAAAAAUUCCACAGUCAAACUUUAAUUAAAUUUUUUUAUGCACAUUCCUCUAAAUUGAUCCAAAAAAGUACCAAUUCAGCCUAAAUUAUAAACUAAACAAAUCCUAAUCACUAAUCAGCAAUAAUCACUAAUAAUAGUUAAAGAGACAGCUGCUACAAAAAAAAAAAAUAGAUUGGUACCAUCUCAACAGCUAUUUGGUAUAAGAUAGCAACUCAUCCUCUCACUCUCACAUAAAAAAUUAUUUUUCAUAUUCUUUAUAUAUAUUACUUUUGCUUCAAGUCACAACCAAGUGAAGCAAUUCCAAACAAAAACUAGUAAUUUAGUUUGAAAGUAUCAAUCAUAACCUCAUAAAAUUUCAAACGUUUUCUUUAACACCAAUACUUUAUACUUUAUGUUCCAUUUUAAAUAACCUUCUCUUCACUUCAUUCUCUUCCAACCUGAAAAUUUUCUGGUCAAUUUUUUCAUAACAUGGGUUCACUAGAAAGGUCAAAGAAAAAAACCCAUUUAUGGAAAAAAGCCAUGCUUCAUUUUUCUCUAUGUUUUGUUAUGGGUUUUUUCACCGGUUUAGCUCCAUCAGGUAAAUCUCUAAUAUUUUCUAGCAAAAUUGAAGUUGCAUUUGCAGUUUCAAACGUAACAGAGUUUGUAACAGCAGCACCUCAACCUUCUCAAACUUCAACGAAAAAUAGUAACAAAAGUUGGAUAGCUUCAGCACCGAAAAUCCAUAGCCAAAAAACAAAGUUGCAUGCAAAACCACUACCUCAGUUAAAGCCGAAAAGACUUGUUAUCAUAGUAACUCCAACUAGCACAAAACUACCUUAUCAAAAUGUUUUUCUGAGAAGGUUAGCGAAUACUAUAAAGCUGGUUGAUCAACCGGUGCUUUGGAUUGUCGUCGAGGCGAAAACCGAUUCGCCGGAGUUGUCGGAGAUUUUAAGGAAAACUGGUAUCAUGUACAGACAUGUUGUUUUCAGUGAAGAGUUUGAGGAUUUAGAAGGUGAAUUGAAUCAUCAGAGAAAUUUAGCACUUAGUCACAUUGAACAUCAUAGAUUGAGUGGGAUUGUUCAUUUUGCUGGACUUUCAAAUGUUUAUGAUCUUCAAUUCUUUCAACAGCUUAGAGAUAUUGAGUAUGUUUUCUAACCCUUCUAUUUGCUUAACUAAUUAUUAAUUAUAUUAUUAUUAUUUUGUUGUCUUAUAGUGAUUUGUUCUAAUUUAAAUGUAGCUAGUGGGGGGAAGUUUUAAAAAUAAGCAAAUUUUUUUCAAUUAGAUGGAGAAAAGUUAGUGAGAAAAUCUUUAGGUAUACCAAAAGAUGAUGAUGAUAACUUUAGUGAAUCUUCAACUUAGAUAAAAAAUCAUAUACAAAGAAGACUAUUUAAUUAAAUAUGUAUAAAAUUAUUUUUUAAAAUUAAUAUUAAUAGUAUUUUUUGUAUUAGUAUUAAUAUUAUUACAUAAGAUUUUGUUAUUAGAAUUUAUUUAUAAAUUUGUUGAUAUUUUCAGUAACUUAUGUUUAUUAAUUAACAUUAAUAUAACAUUUUAAAACUUCAUAUUAAAUAUUAAAAUAUAAUUUAAUAUCACUUACUUAUGAGUUUGUUAAUAAAUUUUAAAUAUGACUUUAGAAAAUAUAAAAUUUAUUGAACUUUAAAUUAAAUUAUAAUAAAUUACUUGUCAAAUUUUAAAAGCUUUUAUCUGAUAAGACUUAAUUCAGUAAAAAUUUACAUGUUAAUAAAAUCAAAACUAUCAUUGAAGUAAAUUUUUUUAAUGAUCUACAAAUUAUGAUAUUUUACAAUUACUAGUUGAUUUUUAAAUUUUUUAAAAAACUUAUAUGCUUAAUUUUCUUUAAUAUUUUUACAAAAUAAUGUGUUUCAAUAUUUUAAUUGUGAUUAAUGUGACAAUUGAGCAGGGUCUUUGGGACAUGGCCAACAGCAUUAUUACUUGCAAAUAGAAAAAGAGUCAUACUUGAAGGACCUGUAUGUGACUCAUCUCAAGUUAUUGGAUGGCAUUUAAGAAAUAUGAACAAUGAAACAAUAACUCCUCCCAUUCAUAUUUCAAGUUUUGCAUUCAAUAGCUCCAUUCUUUGGGACCCUGAAAGAUGGGGUAGAACUUCAUCUGUUAAACACACUUCUCAGGUAAUUAAUCACUUCAUAAUCAUGUUUAAUCUCAUUCUAAAAUAGGUAAUUAAUUAAGUUAGUUUAUAUCACUCCUUCACUUUUUACAAUUUUACUUGCGUCUACUUAACAUUUACCCAACUACUUUAAAAAGAAAACUCAAACGCAAGAAAAAUUAUGCAUUAAGUAAUGUAUAAUGACAACAUGAUUAAUUAGUUGAACUAAUUGAAUAGAACAAUACUACUAAUUAUGUAGUGUUUUCUACUCCAUGUAGUAAUGUUUUCUACCAAACAAUUUUGUUGCUAUUUUGUUUUUUUUGUCAUAAUAAUGAUGCUACUUUUUGUGUGGUUAUCUUAGAAUUCAAUCAAGUUUGUGAAGCAAGUAGUUCUAGAAGAUGAAACAAAGUUGAAGGGAAUUCCACCAUAUUGCUCCAAAAUAUUGUUAUGGCGUUUCAACUUCUAUGCUCGUGCCAUGUCCAAGCAUUAAUUUGUAGGAUAUUAGAGAGAAUAAGGAAUUUGAAGCAAUUCACAAAUUGCUUUUCUACUACAAAAUAUAUGAAAUUUAUUCAUUUUUUUUACCUUUUGUAAUUGUAUUUCGUAUAUAGUUUUUUUCUUCGUUCAUAAUUUUUGUUAGUUUAUGUAAGAGAGGCAAAACAUUUAAAGCAUAUUUUAUAUUUUUAUUUUUUUGAUAUAAAGGCACUAGAGUUUCUAGCAUAUUACUUAAUGCACCAUAAACAUUAUUUACUCUUGUAAAAAAUUAAAAUUAUCCUUAGAAUUUAGAGGUGCAUCCCGGAUGCAUACUAUUUACAUAAAUUAUUUUGUUUUUGAGUCACACAUUAAUUAUAAUUAAAUUUUAUCUAGAAAUGCAUAUAUGUAUUUUAUAUAGAUGUAUUUCUGAAUCCUAAUGAAUCAAGAACAAUUGCAUAAAUGAAACAGAUACACAGUCAGAGAUAAAUUAACAUCAAUAAUUGUUAUGACAUACAUAAAAAUCGAAACAUUAUAUUGAUAAUUGUUAUGACAUGCAUAAAAAAAUGAACUAUACAUUUCAUCAUCAAGUAUGACGUUGCAAUAUCUUCAAAAUAUCUUCGGUGGAUCUCGUAAUUUUCACAUCCAACUCGAUUGAACCUUUCGUUUUGUAAGGGUGAAAUGUACUCCACAUAACCCUUAAAUCAUCAUCUGUCUUCAGCUCAAACUUACUGAACUGAAUGUUUCCUUCGUUAUCAAUCGAGGGUGAACGACACUUGAGUUUGAUAACUUUUUGAUUGUCUAAGUAUUCUAGAAGAUUCUCAAAAUAUGCAUUUCAGAUCUGCAAGAGAGGUGUACUCAGUGACCUUAAAUUCAAGUGAGACAUUCACGACGUUGAAGUAGACAAAUGCGACAUGCCAAUAUAUGUUAAUUCUGGUGUAAUGUGACUUUGUUAAAAAUUUGAGAUGAGAGAUCCAUUUUAUACAAGUUUUAGGUCAAUAUGGAACUUAGAAAUUCAAUCAUGUCCCAAGGGAAAUUCCGUAGAUGUACUUCUUAAAACACCCUACUUUGUUGUGUGAAAUUUAUGAAAAUAUGGUGCAUCAGAAAAUACAUUUUUGAAUAAAUUCAUGUUCGUAUUUUUUUAAAAUAUUUGGGAUGAAUCCAGAAAUGCAUUUUCGGAUGCACCAGAGACUGUUUGCUUAACCAAUUUCAGAAACAGAACCUGUUUUCCAAUAGAAAAUGGAGAAAUAUUUUGAAAAUUGAAACAAAUAUUAAAAUCUAUGAAAACAUAUAUAUUUAACAUCAUUAAUAUUAAUAUAAAAUUACAUACAAUACAUGUCUAACCAAAUAAACACACUGUUGAAUAAAAACUAAAAUGAAUCAAAACAUGUGUCACCGUCUAAAUCUAUAUGUAUGAGAAUUACACAUUUGACUUUUGUUUAUUUGUUUCUAUUUCAAUCUCGCUCAACUUGGUGAAUUCUUGCAUCCUAUCCAUAAAAGGAUUCAACAAAGUCUCAGUUUUCCAUGUUGAAUGAGUUGUCCACUCCAGGGUGUUAGGGGUACAGGGCAUCCUGAUUUCAAAACUAAAACAAAGUGUCACGUUUUUGAAAGUCAUUCAAUACACAUAAUACGAUCAAUUGGAUUUUGAGGUGGGACAAUGUAUAGUGGAUUUUUUUUUCGAAAACUAUAUCUUGUCAGAUCAAUACACACCUUAUUAUAUGCAUUUGUUAUAAGAUGACUCAUUUUAGUGAAGUACAUCCAUUUUUCUUCUGGCGUAGCUCCCCUAAUGCAAGGAAUAAGAGAUUCAUGAUAUGCACCAAAAUUUUCUUUUUUUCCGUAUAACACGUGUGUGAUUCUUUAUAGUCGUGUGUAUGAUUCUUUAUGCACCAAAAUGUAUGAUCAUCAUCUCCUUUACCGAGCAAAGCAGAAAUAUAUCGAAAACCGCCAUUAUCGUUGCCCUCAAUAUUCAUGAUCCGUUCUGAAGGGAUUUAAAGGAGAUUUUUCAAAAAUUUUGAUCCCCUUAGUGGAACAAUCCCGAUGAAUGGAUCUUAAUUAAAUCACUAAUCACGAAUCAAACACAAAUAAAGGUUUUGAAUUCUCUCUUGAAAUGUGCUUUAACUUUGAUCAUGAACGUGAAAAAUAACACCGUCUCUAUGAAGUCUACGCGAGUACAAAGUCGAACGUGAUGCUAGCAUUUUCUUUUUCUGAGAAUGACUUUGCAAAGGAAAUAAUUUUUCUAUUUAUAGAGAGCUACUAAAACCCUAAUAUGUUCUUAUUUUGGUCUUUGUAAAAAUAAGCUCAAUCUUAUUUAAUUAAAUAAUUUUAAUUAAAUAAAAUAUAUUUUAUAUUUAAUUAAAUUUUUUAAUUAUAUAAAAUAAAAUAUUAAUUAAAUUAAUCAUAUUUAAUUCAAUUAAUUAUCAAUUCUCAUUUAUUUAAUUAAAUUAUAUUUAAUCAAAUAAAUUAUAUAUGUAUUAAUAUAUUAAAUAAUCUAAAUACUCUUAACACAUGAUUAAAUUAAAUUAAAUCUUAUUUAAUUUAAUCAUUCAUUCAAUUAUCAGUACUCUAUGGGUGAUACUUAUUUGAGGACGAACAUGCAUUUUACAGUCAUACUCGUUCAAGGGUCCAUAAAUAUUAUUCCAGUAUAUAUAGGAGAUACAAAUCUCAUAUAAGUCAUCCAUGUCUCUUAACAUGAUUUAUAAAAUAUUCAUCCAUCAUCUUUAUAUCUUUAUAGGAAUUCUUUUAUGGAUAACUUUUGAAUGUAGUGUGUACUCAUUUAUGUAAUACCUAUAGCACUCGGUUGUUUUUCUUUGGUUUAUCAAAACAACCGAUGCUUGUUUUAGUGUUUUGACCAAUAUUUGAGAAUUGAAAUAAGUUCUUUUAAGUAGUCAUAAUUGCUCUCCAAACCAACGCCAGCUAGAGUUUAGUAACAGUUUAACUUGUAUAAACUUGCAUAUUAAACAAUUUAAAUUGAAUCGUUCACAAUUAUUAACCAAUGUCAUAAAGUGGUAUAAGUCCGACCCCUGUUAAUUCAUGGAUAAUCUGCAAACUUUAACAAAACAAAUAAUUUUAAUAUUUACUUAAAACUACCUUAAAGUAUAUUUGGAAAAUAUCUUUUAUCAUAGACCAAAUUAUAAGAGAUAAAUGUAUAUUUACUUUUAAAAUAAUUAUUAUAGGAGUCACUUAUAACUUAGGGUCUAAAUGAUUUAACUCACACAAGCUACAAUUUUAACGGAUUCAAAAGUUGGUCCAAUUGCUUAGUUUAGAAUUCUUUAAAAAAUCUAUAAAACUGAACUAUAAAUUUGAACCAUAUUGUUGUUAAAUAAAUUAAUCAUUCAUUUUUAAAUAACAAAAUUAAAAGAACAACACUGCAAAUAUAUAAAAGGUGAGAUACUAGGUUCGGGAGUCAUUUAAGUGAGAGAAAAAUAUUAGACAUCUCUCACCUCCAUUGUAUUCAAUGAAAUCCUCCUCUAAAUCUAGGGUUAGUGUGUUUUUAAGAGAAUUUUGCUUUAAUAUUUAUUAAUUAUUUAAUUAUUUAUUUAUUUAACAAAAAGAUAUUUGAUUAGAGAAAAGAAAAAUCAAUUACAAAAGAAGACUAAAAAAUGUUUUUGAUUAUUAUACUUGCUAGAAUCUUACAACUCUAACUCUAUGCCUACGUACCAUUACUUUUAAUGAAAGAUCAGAGUCUCGUAGUUCUGGUAGAAAAAUGUUUGUAGUUUUUAUCCCUUAAAAAUUCUUAAGCAUCGGGGACGAAAAAGUAAUUGAUUUUGAAAAAUGCAUCAAUGCACUAUGGCAGAUGACUUAUAGUUUGAGGUGAGUUUAAAUUAAUUUUAUUCCAAUUAUUGAUUAAAAAAAUAUAGUACUUAAUUUAUUUAUGAAAAUAAAUAUUAUAUAUUUAUAAGACAUAUCUCUUAUCCCGAUUGUAUCCCCGAUUUAUCCCUUAUUUUUAUCUCUUUGAAAUCCUAAAAAUCUAUCCCUUAUUUUAUCCCAUGUUCUUAUCCCCUUUGAUUGCAAAAAUAUAAUAUAUUAAAUAACUUAAAUAAGAUGUAAUAUGAUGUAUCCCUUAUUUUUAUCUCUUUGAAAUCCUAAAAGUCUAUCCCUUAUUUUAUCCCAUGUUCUUAUCCCCUUUGAUUGCAAAAAUAUAAUAUAAUUAAAUAACUUAAAUAAGAUGUAUCCCUCAUCCCGAUUUUAUCCCUUAAAACCCUAUAAAUUAUCCCUAAAAUUUCUUGAUUUAAUUAUCCCUAGUUUCUAUAAAUCCCUAAUUAAUAUGACUAUUCUAAAUAAUUGAUGAAGAAUCCAACUUAAAAAUAAAUAUUAAAUUAAUGAAAUCCCCGAUUAUUAGUUUAAUUAAAUCCAAUUAAUUUUAAUAAACCAACCUUAAUAAUUAAAUUCCUAAAACUAUAUAUUCAUUAAAAUAAAUAUAUUUUAAAAAACAGGGGGGGUGUAUUAUGGUACUAAAUAAACAAUUGGGCUUGAAGCUGGGGUGUGGGAAGCAAUGGAAAGAAAGGCCCAAUACUCUCUGAAGUCUAACGCAUGGGGGUCUAUAGAAGGAGAGAGUCAAUCGUUGACUCUCUUUGGUUCCUUUGAUCAAGAUCAUGGGGAUGUUAUUACACUUAAUCAUAGCCUUUGGUUUGAUUGACUGGUCAAAGUAUAUAGAGUGUAUGAUUGAAAUGCAGAGUCAAAAGGGGACUCGGGGUAUACACGCAUACACAACGGGUGAGUUUUUUCCUGCAUUGCCCUCCUAUUGAAUUUUUUUAUCCAAUAUGCCCCAGUCUGAAAAUAAUUUCCCAAUCUACCCCCUUUUUCAAUUAGGGCUCGCCACUUCAAACGACGAGGGGAUGAAGGCCUAAUUUACGCAGUUAGGGCUCGUCACUUCAAGUGACGAGGACAUGAAGAAGGAUUUUUUUUUAAUAUUUUAAAUAUUGUAUUAAAUAAUAAUAAUAAUUAAUAUAAUUAAUUUUUAAUUAUUAAUUCUAUAUUUAAUUAAUAUAAUUGAUUUAAUUAAAAAUAAUAAUAAUUUUUUUAUAAAAAAAUAUUUAAAAUAAAUUGUAAAUAAUUAUAGUUUUUCAUGAUAAUAAAAAAAUUGUGAUANUGUAGAAAUUGAAGAGAGUAAAUAUUUGAAGAGGGUAAGAAUGUGUGAAAUAGAAAUUGUAGGUAGAUGAUGAGUAAGAAGUGUAGAAGUAUUGAUUAUUUAUAGUGGUAAAAUUAUAAUAAAAAAAAUUGGUAAAAGUUUGAAUAGUAGAGGAUUAGACAUUGCAUUGCAUGUCAUGCAUGCAAAAAAAAUUGUAAGGAUUCCCUGUAACAUGAGAUUCCCACGCUGAAGGGAAAACACAAUGCCAAUAGCCUGCACUAUGGCUCGUCACUUUGAUGGACGAGCUGUACCUACUUCUUUGAGGCCUCGUCAAAUGGAAUGGCGAGGUGAUUCAUCCUCUUUGUUGCCUCGUCAAAUGAAGUGACAAGUUCUGUAUGUCUAGGGUUUUGUCUCGUCAAUCCAAGUGAUGAGCUAUCACAUGCCAAUUUCCUCACGCGUUUCCCUACUUCUCCCUCCUCUAUUUAACUUAAAAUCAGCAUGUGAUUUGGAUAUUGUAUUAUAUUCACACCAAAUCAAACUCAUAUUUCCUAUAAAUACUACUAACUUCCUCAUUUACAUUCACCAAAUCAAAUCCUCAUUUAUAUUCACACCAAAUCAAAUCCUCAUUUAUAUUCACACUAAAUCAAAUAUUACACAUCCAUGGCUCAAAGAAAUUUAGUUGUUUCUAUCCAUUCCGAAGGGUCACUUUUCACAUAUUCAAGUGAGGGAUUCUCAUUUUGCAAUACGAAUUUAACUAUGUUCAAAAUCCACAUCAACUCCGACUUUCAUAAUUUAAAAGACCGUAUUGAAAAGAAGUUGCAACGUUAUGUUGAAGACAUCAUUUAUCGUCAACCAUUAUUUAAUGGAGAUGAUAAUACCGUCUUUCACAUAAUGACACCGAUUAAGACCGACGAAGAAAUUUGUUGUUCAAAUCCAAAUUGGAGUUUGACUCGAUCCGUCUGAUGCAUCUCAACGGUAUAGAAACAUAUGAUAUAUGUUGUUGCACUCCAGACUCGGCUGUCAUUAUAAUCAGGCACUGGAUAUUAUAUGUACGGCCUCCAAAUAAACUGUUAAAAGAAAUAUAACUAUUAGAAUGUAUAUUAAAUUUAAAUAAGUUAAAUAUUUUAAUUAAUCAUUCUUACAUCUUUUUCUUCCAUGUGUUCUAUUGCAACACGGUACCCUUGUACAUGAUGUCGAGGAUUAUUUCGAUAAUUCAUACCUCGUUUGCACCAUCUUGCAUAUUAAAAAAAAUAUGUUAAAUUGACGUAUAAUUUUUUUUUGAUAAAUAUAAAUUGCAUUUAAAUGAAAAUCGUUACCUUAAACCUCGUUACUAACCGGGGCUAUCAAGGGUAUGCGUGUGAAUGCCCAUACAGUUAGUAAUACCACACAUCCUCCUAUGCUCUUUACUCCUCUAUGGGCCGCCUUGCACAUAUGUCUAUAUAGUGUAGCCAAACAAGCAGAACCCCAACUGUAUGAAUUACAUUUUUCAAGGUCUCCUACUAAAGGUAACCAAGAAGAAUGCAACAAAUUGUGACUUUUAUCUGGCAUUAAAAAAGUAGCAAUUAAAAGUAAAAUAUAAAUUUUUGCAUGUAAAAUAUUUUCUGCCUCGGACGGGUUAGGGUUAUUUUUUAGUUGCGUUAAUACUGCGUCUAGCCAAACAAUUUUGACAGAAGCCCCAUUUUUAUCCGAGGGCGGUUGGUUCGAUGCCCAAAUUUUCCAUGUAAACGGCACUGGUUACGUUUGUUGGGCCAUUGACAGCUUUUCCAUGGAUUCGGAGACCGAAUAACAUACUCACAUCCUCUAAUGUGAUGGUACAUUCACCUGUUGGUAAAUGAAAUGUAUGUGUCUCCGGUCUCCAUCUCUCUAACAAUGCCACAAUGAGUUUAGAGUCUACUUUUAGACUUGCAAUUUUUGCCACAUUCGCAAAACCUGCUAGCUCCAAGUACGGUAUUAUAACCGCACUUGGUUGAAUAUAUGAAUGCAAAUGAACCCGAAAUUUUCCAUCUUGCUGAAAUUAAAAUAAAUAACAGUAAUGAAUAUUUGGUCUAAUAAAGAACGGAAGUAAAAAACGAUAAUAAAAAACGAUAAUAAAAAACGGUAAAUUUGAAUGAGACUUACGUAUUCGACAAUGUUUGCCGCCGUCCCACGGUGUGAUUCACCCAUCCAUAAGAAAGACAUCUUGAAAGGAAGUGUAGAAAUUGAAGAGAGUAAAUAUUUGAAGAGGGUAAGAAUGUGUGAAAUAGAAAUUGUAGGUAGAUGAUGAGUAAGAAGUGUAGAAGUAUUGAUUAUUUAUAGUGGUAAAAUUAUAAUAAAAAAAAUUGGUAAAAGUUUGAAUAGUAGAGGAUUAGACAUUGCAUUGCAUGUCAUGCAUGCAAAAAAAAUUGUUAAGGAUUCCCUGUAACAUGAGAUUCCCACGCUGAAGGGAAAACACAAUGCCAAUAGCCUGCACCUAUGGCUCGUCACUUUGAUUGACGAGCUGUACCUACUUCUUUGAGGCCUCGUCAAAUGGAAUGGAGAGGUGAUUCGUCCUCUUUGUUGCCUCGUCAAAUGAAGUGACGAGUGCUUUAUGUCUAGGGUUUUGUCUCGUCAAUCCAAGUGACGAGCUAUCACAUGCCAAUUUCCUCACGCGUUUCCCUCUGUCUCUCUCCUCUAUUUAACUUAAAAUUAGCAUGUGAUUUGGAUAUUGUAUUAUAUUCACACCAAAUCAAAUUCAUAUUUCCUAUAAAUACUACUACUUCCUCAUUUACAUUCACCAAAUCAAAUCCUCAUUUAUAUUCACACCAAACCAAAUCCUCAUUUAUAUUCACACCAAAUCAAAUCCUCAUUUAUAUUCAUACUAAAUCAAAUAUUACACAUCCAUAUGGAAUGAGUCAUUUAUCGUCAACCAUUAUUUAAUGGAGAUGAUAAUACCGUCUUUCACAUAAUGACACUGAUUAAGACCGACGAAGAUGUCAGGUCGAUGUUUCAAUGUCAUGUAACAUUAUCUCAAUUACCCAGCAUUGAGAUAUAUGUUCGUCUAGUCGAUAAUCUUGAAGAACAACCGAGUGACAAUGUUGAGGAACAACCGUCUCACAACGAAAAUCACUGUUAUCCAACGCAAUCUGUACAGUCACACGACUAUGGAAUGAGUCAAGCCAUUGACGAAGAGCCGACUCAAAAUAAUGAACCUUUCAUACCAAAUGAAGAGGUGGGCGAGAAUAGUGAGGAUGAUCUUGAGGAGGUUCGAUUUGAAGAUCUAUUCGGUGUUAGCGAUGACGAUGGCAAUGAGGAAAUAUUCGACACACCGGCCGUUGCACUAAGAGCGCAACCAAUUAGUUUGUACAACCCACCUGCGCACAUGCAAAACAUAAGUUUGGAUGAUGCCGAACCAAUCUCCGUUUUCGGCAGUUUCAUACCAACUCACAACUUUGACGAAAUAGAGGAGGGCAUAGAGUAUGAAGAUAAGGAAGAGUGUCUUCUGGCGUUGCAACAAUGGCAUAUAAAACGUAGUCUAGAUUUUUCUGUGGUUAAAUCUGACAGUGUAUGUUUUGUCAUCAAAUGUAGAAAUUCAACAUGCAAUUUCAAAUGCAGGGUCUCUUUGCGCAAGGGCAACUCAAGGUGGAGAGUUGGUAAGUCUAGUGGGCCUCAUACGUGCACAACCACUUCCAUGUCACAAGACCAUACAAAACUCAGUUCAGAAAUGAUUAGCAAGAGCAUAAUGGAGCUUGUAAAUCGGGACGCUUCUCUUAAGGUGAAGGUUAUCAUUGCUCAUGUUGUUGAGAAAUACCGGUAUAUCAUAUCAUACAAAAAGGCAUGGAUUGCAAAGUGUAAGGCGGUUGAGUCGCUCUAUAGAAAUUGGGAGACAUCUUACAACGAUCUUCUACAGUGGAUACUGGUAAUGAAAACAUAUCUACCAGGUACCAUUAUAGAAUUACAAACCCUACCUGUGAUUUCAAAUGAUGGUUCAUACUUGGGUGACCAAAGGAUAUUUCAUCGUCUGUUUUGGGCGUUUAGACCAUGUAUACGUGGCUUCGCGUAUUGUAAACCAAUUGUGCAGGUUGAUGGAACUUGGUUGUAUGGCAAGUACAGAGGGGCUCUGCUGAUGGAUGUGGCACAGGAUGGGAAGGGGAACAUAUUUCCGAUAGCGUUCGCAUUGGUUGAAAGUGAGACAAAGGAAGCCUGGAGUUUCUUUCUUAAGAAUUUGAGAAUGCAUGUUACCCCCCAAGCAAAUCUAUGCCUAAUAUCAAACAGGCAUGAAUCAAUAAAGAAUGCAUACAACAACCCGGAAAAUGGAUGGCAGUUUCCUCCUUCAUCACACGUCUAUUGCAUUAGACAUAUCGCGCAAAACUUCAUGCGGGAGAUUAAAGAUAAGGAUCUGCGGAAAAUAGUUGUUAACAUGGGUUAUGCGUUAACAGAGGCAACGUUUAACUACUAUCGGGGGGAAAUCCGAAGAACAAACAACGACGCUUUAUCAUAGAUAGACAACAUCCCUCGCGAGAAGUGGGCAAGGGCAUUUGACGGAGGGCAACGCUGGGGUCACAUGACAACUAACCUAGCAGAAGCAACGAACGCGGUGUUGAAAGAAACCCGGAACCUUUCAAUCACUGCAUUGGUCAAAUCUACGUACUAUCGUUUAGGAUCACUAUUUGGUAGAAGAGGCCAUCAGUGGACAAAAAUGUUAGCCUCUGGGCAGGUUUUCACUGAUAACUGCAACAAGGGGAUGGCUGAGGAAGUCAUCAAAGCUAACACGCAUAACGUCAUGCAGUUCGACCGAGAGAGAUUUUAUUUCAUGGUCCAAGAGAAGAUUAAUCAUAACGACGGUCGACCAACCGGAACGUUCAGCGUUGAUCUGAGGAAACAACACUGUGACUGUGGGAAAUUUCAGGCAUUUCACUUACCUUGCUCCCAUGUAAUCGCAGCAUGUUCGAGCAUACGCCAGGACUAUUCCAUUCACAUUCCAGACGUCUUCAAAAUUCGUAACGUCUUCAAGGUCUAUCAGGAGAGUUUCCUAGGACUUCCCCAUGAGGAGAAUUGGCCACAAUAUGAAGGAUAUACUCUUUGCCACGACGACUCUAUGAGAAGGAGGAAGAAAGGGCGCCCAAACAGCACCAGGAUUAGAACCGAGAUGGACGACGUUGAGAAGGAGAAGAGAAGGUGUGGAAUUUGUCGCGAAAUAGGACACAUGCGUAGGAAAUGUCCUAAUGUUGCAGGAUCAUCCCAACGACCUUCCAGAUGAUUAUCUUGUUGUUUUAAAUAUUCGUUCAGAUGACUAUGUUUAUUUAUUUAUUUAUUAACUACUAUGCACAUAAUAUAUAUAAACCAUUUUGUAUUUCUAAUGUCUUUUGGGAACAAACAUUUAUGAAAUACAUUUGAUAAUCAAAGGCUUCUGGUUACAAAGUACGACCACAUCAACUAAACAACAACAACAACCAACACAAGUGGUAAUUAAAAAACUAAUCAACAACAACAACCAACACAAGUGGACCUUCAACUCCUCUAUUAACUUCACCACUAUGUGCCGAAAACAUACAUUGGACAUCUUCAUCAUUUUCUAUACGAUCCAGGUAAUACAUGUACGUACCAUCGGGGCUUGCAUCAGUCAACGUUAUGUAUGGACAACGAUACUCUACUUUCCUCACCUUCAUACGACGCCCGCCCAACUGUCGGAAGCCAGUGUGGAUGGCAGAAAUCAGUGUUCUGAAAUUCCAUUGCGGAUCAAGGCAAACACUCAUUUUUUCACCGUGUCCAUAAAAUACAAGACCACAAACAGACAUUAUGAACUAAAGAAAGGAUUUGGUGGUGUGAGUUUCAUUUCUACCAGUUNNNNNNNNNNNNNNNNNNNNNNNNNNNNNNNNNNNNNNNNNNNNNNNNNNNNNNNNNNNNNNNNNNNNNNNNNNNNNNNNNNNNNNNNNNNNNNNNNNNNNNNNNNNNNNNNNNNNNNNNNNNNNNNNNNNNNNNNNNNNNNNNNNNNNNNNNNNNNNNNNNNNNNNNNNNNNNNNNNNNNNNNNNNNNNNNNNNNNNNNNNNNNNNNNNNNNNNNNNNNNCAACAACAACCAACACAAGUGGACCUUCAACUCCUCUAUUAACUUCACCACUAUGUGCCGAAAACAUACACUGGACAUCUUCAUCAUUUUCUAUACGAUCCAGGUAAUACAUGUACAUACCAUCGGGGCUUGCAUCAGUCAACGUUAUGUAUGGACAACGAUACUCUACUUUCCUCACCUUCAUACGACGCUCGCCCAACUGUCGGAAGCCAGUGUGGAUGGCAGAAAUCAGUGUUCGGAAAUUCCAUUGCGGAUCAAGGCAAACACUCAUUUUCUCACCGUGUCCAUAAAAUACAAGACCACAAACAGACAUUCUGAACUAAAGAAAGGAUUUGGUGGUCUGAGUUACAUUUCUACAAGUUCUGCUAUUUAUACAAAAAUUAAUAGUUGAAUACUCAGCCAAUCAUUGGCCGAGACAGUACAAACACAAAAACUUUUUGGCGGGAAAGAUAUCAUUCCCAAAAAAUGAUUGACAUUUUGGAGGGAAACAUAACAAUUUUAUUAUUAAUAUAUAAGACAUAAAUUAUUUCUAUUAUUAAUAUUCUAAAAAUUAAUCAUUUUUAUUAUUAGUAUUUCAAAAAUAAUAAUAUCACAAUUUUUUUAUUAUCAUGAAAAACUAUAAUUAUUUACAAUUUAUUUUAAAUAUUUUUUUAUAAAAAAAUUAUUAUUAUUUUUAAUUAAAUCAAUUAUAUUAAUUAUUUUUUUAUUAUCAUGAAAAACUAUAAUUAUUUACAAUUUAUUUUAAAUAUUUUUUUAUAAAAAAAUUAUUAUUAUUUUUAAUUAAAUCAAUUAUAUUAAUUAAAUAUAAAAUUAAUAAUUAAAAAUUAAUUAUAUUAAUUAUUAUUAUUAUUUAAUACAGUAUUUAAAAUAUUAAAAAAUAAAAAAAUCCUUCUUCAUGUCCUCGUCACUUGAAGUGACGAGCCCUAACUGCGUAAAUUGGGCCUUCAUCCCCUCGUCAUUUGAAGUGGCGAGCCCUAACUGAAAAAGGGAUAGAUUGAGAAAUUAUUUUCAGACUGGGGCAUAUUGGGUAAAAAAUUUCAAAUAGAGGGCAUAUGCAGCAAAAACUCACAACGGGUAUGUUGAGUCAACUGGUUGAUUGGUUGAGAGAGGUCACGCAAGCAUGAUGUGGCACUUGGCUGGAUGAGGGUAUAAAAGUUAUCUCCCUUUAGAAAUCUUCAUUUCCACUUCUCUCAUUCUCCCUCUCUUCAUUGCUCUCCCUCUCUCUUCUCUCCCCUCUUUCUACUUCGGCAACCCUCUUCCCCACCGUAUAUCCCCAGAAACCACCCACAAACCACCACAUUCAACUGAGAUCUUUAUGUUCAUCAUGAACAUGAAAAACACCCAACUCAGAAACCGACCCCUCACCAUCCUUUCCCCCAGAACCACCGAAUCUCCGGAUCUCGGGUUGAAGCUCAACCAGGAUCUUCAAUCAAUGUUCAUCUGGGUGAUGAACAUCAACCCAGAACCAAGAACCCUAACCCUAACAUUCAACCAAAACCCAGAAUCACAAGAACCAUAACCCUAACUGAAGAACCCUAACCUUCAAAAUCAAAACCCAAAUUCUCCUAACCUUUAUCAUGUUCAUCAUGAACAUGAUGAAUCUUCAUCCCUGAUCUCUGAACCAUAACCCAAAUUUCCAGAAAUCCCCACAAUUCACCCAAUCAUAACAAAAACAACCUUAAAUCAAAGGUCGUAACCUCUUUAUCAAUAAUUAACCGCCAAAAUAAAUAACAAAACAUCCUAAAACCAUGAAUCAAUCCAUCUGAACCCUAAUCCCCAAAUCAACCCCAAUCAUCAUACAUCAACAACAACAUCAAAGAGUCAACAAAAGUAAGCAAAUAAGUGAAGUUCUACCAACCUACAGAAUCGAGGAAUAUUCCAGUUCGAAAGGUAAUUACCUAGAGUCCUUUCUUAAUUACUUCUUUUAUUAUGCUCCUCUUCUAAUCCCUUUCUUAUUGUUAUGCGAGGUUUGAUGGUUGGCUAAGCUCAAAUAACUUAGGGUUUCAGUGUGAAGCCCUAAACAUCAAAUUUUGUUGAGCAUAUGGUGAGACUUUUAGGAUCAAUGUUGCGACUGCAAGUUCCAAGUCCUUAGGGUUUUCUUCGUCCCUGAUUGAAUUUUAGGUUUAUGUUUAUAUAAAUUAUUUUUUAGGGUUUUAGAUUUCAAUUCUGAUUGUAUGGUUUUAUAAGAUUAGGACCUGAUUGAUUAUGUAUUUGAUUUAGAUUGAUUUUGUGUUAUAAAUAGAAAUUAGGUUUGAAUUGUAACAGACAUUGACAAUUUAUGUAGUCCAAUUUUGAUUGAUAUUCACGAUUUGAAUGUAUAUGAAAUAAAAACAGAAAUUUUGGAUUGGUUUUAAAAU